rnacentral:rRNA from 1 species
CCUACGGGAGGCAGCAGUGAGGAAUAUUGGUCAAUGGGCGUAAGUCUGAACCAGCCAAGUCGCGUGAGGGAUGACGGCUCUAUGGAUUGUAAACCUCUUUUAUACGGGAAUAAAGUGCGGGACGUGUCCCGUUUUGUAUGUACCUUAUGAAUAAGGAUCGGCUAACUCCGUGCCAGCAGCCGCGGUAAUACGGAGGAUCCGAGCGUUAUCCGGAUUUAUUGGGUUUAAAGGGUGCGUAGGCGGCCUUUUAAGUUAGCGGUGAAAUGCCGUGGCUCAACCGUGGAAUUGCCGCUGAAACUGGGGGGCUUGAGUGUGUUUGAGGCAGGCGGAAUGCGUGGUGUAGCGGUGAAAUGCUUAGAUAUCACGCAGAACCCCGAUUGCGAAGGCAGCCUACCAAGCCAUGACUGACGCUGAUGCACGAAGGCGUGGGGAUCAAACAGGAUUAGAUACCCUUGUAGUC